AACGCUAGCUACAGGCUUAACACAUGCAAGUCGAGGGGUAGCACGGAGGAAGCUUGCUUCCUUGGGUGACGACCGGCGCACGGGUGAGUAACGCGUAUCCAACCUGCCCUUCAUAUUGGGAUAGCCUUCCGAAAGGGAGAUUAAUACCGAAUAACAUGAGAAGUUUGCAUGAAUCUCUCAUGAAAGCUCCGGCGAUGAAGGAUGGGGAUGCGUUCCAUUAGGUAGUAGGCGGGGUAACGGCCCACCUAGCCAACGAUGGAUAGGGGUUCUGAGAGGAAGGUCCCCCACACUGGAACUGAGACACGGUCCAGACUCCUACGGGAGGCAGCAGUGAGGAAUAUUGGUCAAUGGGCGCAAGCCUGAACCAGCCAAGUAGCGUGAAGGAUGACUGCCCUAUGGGUUGUAAACUUCUUUUAUAUGAGAGUAAUGUGCUCUACGUGUAGAGUAUUGCAAGUAUCAUAUGAAUAAGCAUCGGCUAACUCCGUGCCAGCAGCCGCGGUAAUACGGAGGAUGCGAGCGUUAUCCGGAUUUAUUGGGUUUAAAGGGAGCGUAGGCGGGAUAUUAAGUCAGUCGUCAAAGCCUGUGGCUCAACCACAGCCCGCGAUUGAUACUGGUAACCUUGAGUGCGGAUGAGGUGGAUGGAAUUCGUGGUGUAGCGGUGAAAUGCUUAGAUAUCACGAAGAACUCCGAUUGCGAAGGCAGUUCACUGGGCCGCAACUGACGCUGAAGCUCGAAAGUGCGGGUAUCGAACAGGAUUAGAUACCCUGGUAGUCCGCACAGUAAACGAUGAAUGCUGGUCAUUGGCGACACGCUGUCAGUGACUGAGGGAAACCAUUAAGCAUUCCACCUGGGGAGUACGCCGGCAACGGUGAAACUCAAAGGAAUUGACGGGGGCCCGCACAAGCGGAGGAACAUGUGGUUUAAUUCGAUGAUACGCGAGGAACCUUACCCGGGCUUGAAAUGUGCAUGAUUGUUAAGAGAGAUCUUUUCGUCCUUCGGGCAUGCAUGUAGGUGCUGCAUGGUUGUCGUCAGCUCGUGCCGUGAGGUGUCGGCUUAAGUGC
rnacentral:rRNA from 1 species